GCGGGGUGGGGCGAGGACGGACCCCGCCCGCCGCGCCGCCCAGACACGUGCUGCCUUUGUUCCCGCCGCGGCGCCGGCAGCUGCGGGCCUUGGGGACGCUCUCCGCCUCAUCUCCGCCCCGGCGACUCGGGGCCUGCCCUGGCCGAGGCUGCCACCCAAGCCGCACGAGAAGCCAUCCGCGGAGGCCGGGGCCCCGAGCUCCCUCCUUCCGUUUAACAUCCUCUUUCCCCGGAGAAGAAUGUGGGAGGAACGCGAAGCCUUGGCAGAGGCCAUCUGAGUGCCCCGCGCAUCCCCAGUGGACUGCCCCACUGCUUUGAUUUCCUUCCCCUUCGGGACCUCCGUUCAGCCAUCCCAGUAAAAACAGAAGCAGCUACUUCUCCAACCAGCCUCUGAUCAUAACCUGAAGAUUUGGUGCAGCCAGCCUUCCCCAGCACCUUCAAAAAGAGCCCUUGGCAGUAUGACCCCAGCCUCCUCACACUUGUCAAAGACAAGGUCAUAUUUGCAGCAGGCACAGCAUGAAUGGGGUAGUGUCGCCAGCCCACCUGCUGUUGUGACUGAGGAGAGAGGCUGCCCCGAACCCGUCGUCUAGCUCUGCCUCUCUCAAAGCACACCGCUCCUCUGCUCACUCAACCCACCACCACCACCAAGCUUCCAUCACCGCUCCAACCGCGAGGUAAGGAAGAAAGGGCAGUAAUCUGCCAGAAAUGGCAGAAUCAAGGACCCGGGAGGCAGACCCAGCUGAAUGAUGCGGAGCUGUUCUCUUCCAAAGAACUGCAGGGAAGAUCUCCAAAUCCCACCCCCAUCAAUCAGCCCAUUUAUCCUAUAGCCUAUCUCUAGCUGCCCUGCCGGCAGGGCCAGCCUGCUUGUCAUCUGCACCGCUGAGCUGGGCUGCCCGUGUAUCACAGGAGAGUCCCUGCCCUCUACAUACCCCUUUCUCCUAUCACCCCUAGGGAGGCCAAGGACCUAGCCCGCUGGCUUCCAGAAGAGGUUCCAAAUAAAGCCGGCUAACCCUGAGGAAGGCGGCUUUGUUCUUCCAGGGAUCUCAGAGCGGCCCCUAGUGGCC